UUUAACCCUAAAUUCAGCUUGGAGAUCCAGUCUCUCUUUGAAACACAAGGAGAUAAAACCUCUGCAGUUGGAACUGCUGAGGCACACCCAAGAAACCCCAGUAAAGCCUGUGGCCUCUGCUUUCCCCUCGCUCCUGCUUCUGCCUCCUCACCAAACCUGCUGCUUGGCCGUGCCAUGCCAUGCUCCCUUCUCUCAGGAACUCACAUACCGGCAUGCAUCUCUUCAUCCCUCAGGAGAACUGUAACCACAGUGCAAGUCCCUCCAUCUUUCCAUACCGCCGGUUGGAGCAGAUCGUAACAACUUAAUCCUGCAUUUUACAGGUCAACUAGCAUUCAUCCAAGUAGUUUAACAAACCCAGUUCCCUGCUGUGCUAAACUUUUCAAAACCACACAAAGCUGGACCUGUAAUUUCCUAAUUCCACUUCCACACCCUGGCGUGGAGCUUGGUGUCACAGUCACUUCACGUGGGUUCAUCCUUCAGAGUGCAAUAGGAAAAUCAUUCUGGAUUUUAGGGAAGAAAUGUCAAGACAAGAAACAGAGGGAGAGGGAGAGAGGUGUCGUUGGUGCACCCACUAAAGAAAAGCCUCAGGCUGCCGACUUGAGCUCUACGGGGCAUUUAUGGGGACUAAAGCCAAAGAGAGAUGGAUUUCAACCCUAUGUCAACUGAAAUCUAAAAUGCAGUCAUUCAUUUGGACUGUAGCUUGGAGUUAUUUCUAUGUAUCUGUGACUUUGAAAACGCAAUAUCAACUGUGGUGCUAUUUCUCUUGGGCUUGGGACAAAAGGACUUGAGUGGAAGGUCGCCCAUUACUACAGCAACAUUUGAGGGAGAAGGGGAGAACAAUAUGUCCCUCAUUUGGAUGAUUUUCUCUCCUCAUAACUACUCUUUCUUAUUCCUGUAUGUAGGGAUUUUGCAAAUUAGCCAUGAAAAAUACAGCCUCAUUAUUUCUUACUCUGCCAUCAACUCACACUUUGAAAGAGGAAAAGUGCCUUUACUAGUUUGACAUUGAUUAAUUUUACUUCAUCCAUUGGUAGAUGGUAGUGCUUUUAUAUGUGUCUUAUCUCCCC
rnacentral:lncRNA from 1 species